rnacentral:rRNA from 1 species
GGGGAAUUUUGGACAAUGGGCGCAAGCCUGAUCCAGCAAUGCCGCGUGCAGGAAGAAGGCCUUCGGGUUGUAAACUGCUUUUGUACGGAACGAAACGGCCCUUUCUAAUAUAAGGGGCUAAUGACGGUACCGUAAGAAUAAGCACCGGCUAACUACGUGCCAGCAGCCGCGGUAAUACGUAGGGUGCGAGCGUUAAUCGGAAUUACUGGGCGUAAAGCGUGCGCAGGCGGUUAUGUAAGACAGUUGUGAAAUCCCCGGGCUCAACCUGGGAAUUGCAUCUGUGACUGCAUAGCUAGAGUACGGUAGAGGGGGAUGGAAUUCCGCGUGUAGCAGUGAAAUGCGUAGAUAUGCGGAGGAACACCGAUGGCGAAGGCAAUCCCCUGGACCUGUACUGACGCUCAUGCACGAAAGCGUGGGGAGCAAAC